rnacentral:rRNA from 1 species
UACGUAGGGGGCAAGCGUUGUUCGGAAUUAUUGGGCGUAAAGAGCUCGUAGGCGGCUCGGUAAGUCGGGUGUGAAACCCCCAGGCUCAACCUGGGGACGCCACCCGAUACUGCUGUGGCUAGAGUCCAGUAGGGGAGUGUGGAAUUCCCGGUGUAGCGGUGAAAUGCGUAGAGAUCAGGAAGAACACCGGUGGCGAAAGCGCUCUGCUGGACCUGCACUGACACUGAGGGACGAAAGCUAGGGGAGCGAAAGGG